AUGAGCCAUACAAUGAAGCUAUGGAAGAGAGUUAUUGAGCACCGCUUAAGAAGAAUGACAAGCGUGACCAAAAAUCAGUUUGGUUUCAUGCCUGGGAGGUCGACCAUGGAAGCCAUUUUCUUGGUACGACAACUUAUGGAGAGAUAUAGGGAGCAAAAGAAGGACUUGCAUAUGGUGUUCAUUGACUUGGAGAAGGCCUAUGAUAAGAUACCGCGGAAUGUCAUGUGGUGGGCCUUGGAGAAAAACAAAGUCCCAGCAAAGUACAUUACCCUCAUCAAGGACAUGUACGAUAAUGUUGUGACAAGUGUUCGAACAAGUGAUGUCAACACUGAUGACUUCCCGAUUAAGAUAGGACUGCAUCAGGGGUCAGCUUUGAACCCUUAUCUUUUUGCAUUGGUGAUGGAUGAGGUCACAAGGGAUAUACAAGGAGAUAUCCCAUGGUGUAUGCUCUUUGCGGAUGAUGUGGUGCUAGUUGACGAUAGUCGGAAGGGGGUAAAUAGGAAGUUAGAGUUAUGGACACAAACCUUGGAAUCGAAAGGGUUUAGGCUUAGUAGAACUAAAAUCGAGUACAUGAUGUGCGGUUUCAGUACUACUAGGUGUGAGGAGGAGGAGGUUAGCCUUGAUGGCUAG
rnacentral:rRNA from 1 species